UUUCUUCGGUGGUGUUGGGAGUGGACAAGGUAGUGUGAGUGAGUAGUGAGCACCAUGGCGAGCCGAGAGCACCUCCUGCUCGACCCGGCGGCGCUGGCCGUCUCUUGGGCUGACCCCGCUGCGGUGGAGAUCCCGCCCGAGCUCCUCGCCGCGCUGGGUGAGUACCUGUCCGCCAGGCGUAGCGACGGGGAGGCCGAGGCCGACGCCGAGGCGG
rnacentral:misc_RNA from 1 species